UACGUAGGGUGCAAGCGUUGUCCGGAAUUAUUGGGCGUAAAGAGCUCGUAGGCGGUCUGUCGCGUCUGCUGUGAAAGUCGAGGGCUCAACCCUCGAAUGCCGGUGGAUACUGUCGGGCUUGAGUACGGGAGAGGCGAGUGGAAUUCCUGGUGUAGCGGUGAAAUGCGCAGAUAUCAGGAGGAACACCGAUUGCGAAGGCAGCUCGCUGGAACGUUACUAACGCUGAGACGCGAAAGCGUGGGGAGCAAACAGG
rnacentral:rRNA from 1 species